rnacentral:rRNA from 1 species
GUUGGGAAUAUUGCACAAUGGGCGAAAGCCUGAUGCAGCGACGCCGCGUGAAGGAAGAAGCCUUUCGGGGUGUAAACUUCUUUUGUCUGGGAGGAUUAUGACAGUACCAGACGAAUAAGUACCGGCUAACUACGUGCCAGAAGCCUCGGUGAUACGUAGGGUACAAGCAUUAUCCGGAAUUAUUGGGCGUAAAGCGUGUCUAGGUGGUUAUAAAAGUUUUUUGUUAAAUCUUUGGGCUCAACCCAGAAAUCGCAGAGAAUACUUUAUGACUAGAGACCAAUAGAGGUGUAUGGAACUCUCGGUGUAGGAGUGAAAUCCGUUGAUAUCGAGAGGAACACCAAAGGCGAAGGCAAUACACUAGAUUGGUUCUGACACUCAAGCACGAAAGCGUGGGGAGCGAAAAGGAUUAGAUACCCUAGUAGUCC